rnacentral:rRNA from 1 species
UGGGGAAUUUUGGACAAUGGGGGCAACCCUGAUCCAGCAAUGCCGCGUGUGUGAAGAAGGCCUUCGGGUUGUAAAGCACUUUUGUCCGGGAAGAAAUCGCACCUGAUAAUACCGGGUGUGGAUGACGGUACCGGAAGAAUAAGGACCGGCUAACUACGUGCCAGCAGCCGCGGUAAUACGUAGGGUCCAAGCGUUAAUCGGAAUUACUGGGCGUAAAGCAUGCGCAGGCGGUUGUGCAAGACCAAUGUGAAAUCCCCGGGCUUAACCUGGGAAUUGCAUUGGUGACUGCACGGCUAGAGUGUGUCAGAGGGGGGUAGAAUUCCACGUGUAGCAGUGAAAUGCGUAGAGAUGUGGAGGAAUACCGAUGGCGAAGGCAGCCCCCUGGGAUAACACUGACGCUCAUGCACGAAAGCGUGGGGAGCAAACAGG